CGGAAGUGGCGAGAACUAUGCGCUGCUGCACCGGGAGAAUGGCUGGACCUAGUCAAGAAAGAAUGACAUGGAUAGAGAGAAGAAUGUCUUUGGGUGGUCCACCGUCCUGCAUUAUAGAGUCUGGUGAACUGUUGGAUAUGCGCUUGUUCUUAGACAAAGUACUCUCGGACUCAGGCGACAUAUGAGGACCACCAAGGCCUGUCUCACUCAGACCCUACCUGGUAGGAGAUGGUUCCGGAACUCCUGCUCCCACUUCCUGAAUUCCUUGUUUUUAUUUUUAUUUUACGCAGGACGGUUGCUUUACA